GGGGUUGUGGCUCAGUGGUAGAGUGCUUGCCUAGCAUGUGUGAGGCACUGGGUUCAAUCCCCAGCACCACA
rnacentral:tRNA from 1 species